rnacentral:misc_RNA from 1 species
AAGUCGUAACAAGGUUUCCGUAGGUGAACCUGCGGAAGGAUCAUUAAAAGAGUUAGGGUCCUAGUGGCCCAACCUCCAACCCUGUUGUAAAACACCUUGUUGCUUUGGCGGGACCUUCGGUCUCCAGCGCGUUAACCUUCGGGUUGGCGAGCGCCCGCCAGAGUCCAACCAAACUCUUGUAUUAAACCAGUCGUCUGAGUAUAAAAUUUUUAAUUUAAAAUUAAAAA